ACCUACUGUAAGACAACAUCUCCAAGAUGCUAUUGACCACAAGACUAGUACAAUGUCCAUCCCAGGGUUAUUAGGCACAUGACUUGCAGGACGUGUGAGGACUUCAGAUUAUACCAGUACUCAAAAGACCUUAGAUGAUGGCAACUAUAGAUGGACAUACAAACUACCGCCACUGCAAAAAAGAUUCUAAUUUGAAAGAAGUUUAUAAUGCAUGUUCGCUACUCCCAAUUCAGAAGACU